rnacentral:rRNA from 1 species
UACGUAGGGGGGCAAGCGUUGUCCGGAUUUAUUGGGCGUAAAGAGCGUGUAGGCGGCCAGGUAGGUCUGCUGUGAAAACUCGAGGCUCAACCUCGAGACGCCGGUUGAAACCAUCUGGCUAGAGUCCGGAAGAGGAGAGUGGAAUUCCUGGUGUAGCGGUGAAAUGCGCAGAUAUCAGGAAGAACACCCGUGGCUAAGGCGGCUCUCUAGUACGGUACUGACGCUGAGACGCGAAAGCGUGGGGAGCGAACAGG